GAGUUUGAUCGUGGCUCAGGAUGAACGCUAGCGGCAGGCUUAACACAUGCAAGUCGAGGGGUAUAGGUUUUCGGACCUAGAGACCGGCGCACGGGUGCGUAACGCGUAUGCAAUCUACCUUUUACAGAGGGAUAGCCCAGAGAAAUUUGGAUUAAUACCUCAUAGUAUUAUGAUAAGGCAUCUUAUUAUAAUUAAAGUUCCAACGGUAAAAGAUGAGCAUGCGUCCCAUUAGCUAGAUGGUAAGGUAACGGCUUACCAUGGCGACGAUGGGUAGGGGUCCUGAGAGGGAGAUCCCCCACACUGGUACUGAGACACGGACCAGACUCCUACGGGAGGCAGCAGUGAGGAAUAUUGGUCAAUGGGCGCAAGCCUGAACCAGCCAUGCCGCGUGCAGGAUGACGGUCCUAUGGAUUGUAAACUGCUUUUGUACAGGAAGAAACAGUUCUACGUGUAGAACCUUGACGGUACUGUAAGAAUAAGGAUCGGCUAACUCCGUGCCAGCAGCCGCGGUAAC
rnacentral:rRNA from 1 species